rnacentral:rRNA from 1 species
ACGCUCGACACCUACGGGAGGCAGCAGUGGGGAAUAUUGCACAAUGGGGGAAACCCUGAUGCAGCGCCGCCGCGUGAGCGAAGAAGUAUUUCGGUAUGUAAAGCUCUAUCAGCAGGGAANAAACUGACGGUACCUGACUAAGAAGCACCGGCUAAAUACGUUCCAGCAGCCGCGGUAAUCUGAGCGGGCUGGCAAGGC